rnacentral:rRNA from 1 species
CAAUAGCGUAUAUUUAAGUUGUUGCAGUUAAAAAGCUCGUAGUUGGAUUUCGGGUGGGACGCAGCGGUCUCGCAUUGCGUUUGUACUGCUGCAGCCCUCCUUCUUGCCGGGGGCGGCCUCUCGGACUUCACUGUCUGGGGGUCAGAAUCGGCGAUGUUACUUUGAGUAAAUUAGAGUGUUCAAAGCAAGCUUACGCUCUGAAUAUAAUAGCACGGGAUAACACGACAGGACUCUGGCCUAUCGUGUUGGUCUAUAGGACCAGAGUAAUGAUUAAGAGGGACAGUCGGGGGCAUUCGUAUUCCGUUGUCAGAGGUGAAAUUCUUGGAUUUACGGAAGACGAACAUCUGCGAAAGCAUUUGCCAAGGAUGUUUUCAUUGA